UUCCAGGUGGUUGGCUGAGCGAGCGGUUGACCGGGUGUACUUAAUAAAGUGUGUGAUUAGUGUUUGCACUAUCAUCCCACACACUUUCUGCUUCCUAAGAGUGGUGUUGCCGGGGAUUGGAAACAACACAAGUGAGAGUAAUCAGGAUAAUCAGACAGACAGGAAGUAAAACCCAAAAGAAGACACUAUCAAAGUGACAACCAAGACGUAUACUCAGAAACUCAGACUAAUCAUGGCGAUGACAGCAAAGAGGGAGAUGGCUACUUCUCUCGACGUCAAUAUCGAGGACCGAGAGACGAGAGCUGCCGAGAGACAGACCUCCAUAAAGAAAAGACAGACGCAUCAUCUGACCAGCCAGGGGGCAGACAGACAGACAGACACAGAGAAACACAGACAAGGGCCUCCUUAUUCCACUAACAUACUGUCAUGGUGCAGAGCAGAGGAACACGACAUGGAAAAUGUCACUCCAUCUUUAGUAUUUAAAAAAAACCAAAAAAAAACAGGGACUCGGAGAAACUUUCCCCUCCAAACAUUUUCUGCUGUCACGAACAUGCUCGCUGCUUCAUUUUUACUCCUCUACUGGGUGUGCUUGGCAGUGUUUUCUUAUGCAUGCAGAUGGGCCGGUGUCAAAAGGCCUCUCCCUUUACAGUUCUGUUGUUGAGAGUGCGUGCUGAUCACUCUGGGUGUGGCUCUGCUACCAUUUGCCCCCUCAGGCCUGUUUUCCAUUUUCAAAACAAGCUAGAUUUCCUCAGAUAGAAAACACUUGGCUCUGAAACAACAAAUAAGGACGCGAACGGAGCUCCAUGUUGGCAAAUGGAACAAAAAAAAUGCAAAAAGUAGGCGAAGGAAGAGCCUUUGUGUCUGAAAUGGGUCGCAAACUUUACCUCAUCGGCAGCGCGGGGUCAUUAACACCUCUAAUGCAGUGAUAGUGACUCUGGUGAUUAAUUAGUCCCAAUCACUCCACCUAUUCACCCAUAUGUAGCGUCAGCUCUCCUGCUGGGCUUUUGUUGCCAUUGCUUUUCACAUGCAGUCGCGGUCUGCAUCCCCCGACGAGGCCACCCUCGACACUGCCUGUUUCAUCAACAAACUGCAGCCCAGGUCUAAACGCUCGUCACAGCUCACAGACUGAAAUUCUGUGGAAGAAAUACUCUUUCACAGACAUUUGUUCUCAAAGUCUGUUUUACCUUCUUGUGCUUUUCAGCUGCUUUCUGCAACAAAUGACUGAACUGUCCUUGAAUUUCUUGCUUGGAGCUUUGCAGAUACCCACCGACAGAUUUGCAUGUAGCAUUUGGUAGACGGAUACAUUUUCCACGUUUAUUUCCUUAGCCUUGAUAAGAGGAGUAACCCCAGCAUAGUAAUUGUUUGUUUGAAGCUUGUUAAGGGCUUUGAAAUAUAAUUAUUCAUAGUUUAACAGUUUUCAGCAGUGUACGAGAGCAACUCCUGAAUAAAUUUCCAUCAUUUCCAUUUACAAAAUGUAUUAUCUUUCUAAUUAGACUCAUUCAUUAGGACCCAUCCAUCCAUGCUUUUGCUUUAGGUUUUCGGGUUUGUUUGCAAAGGUAGGCAGAGUUGUUUGCUCGUGUGCAAUCUUCCAACAGCACGUCCCCCAAACAGGGAUGAUGCUGUGUGUAGACUGAAUCCCAAAAUAUUGCUUCUUUUCACCUGGAUGUAGCAUUUUCAUUGGUGGAAGCUUCACCUUCACCCAACCCAGUACACUGUCUGUCCAUCUCCAUACCUUUGCACUAAUCUGAUGGUACUCUAUAUAUAAUGAUUCUAUCUCUUAAAUAGAUAUAAGCAGUUUUCACUAUUUUCUGGUCUCUGUUGAGAAAAUAAAGUUCUCUUUUUUCACAUGUACCACCUUAGAAAAUUUCUCACCACUGGAAAUACUCCACUUGGUUAAGGCGAGGGCAGGAUACACCAUGUCAGGUCGCUUACUGUGAAUUCACCAAACCAUUUCCUGCACUGGGGAGCUAGCAGGUUAAAGGAUUUGUUGGAAAUGUUUAUCGGUUUCAAAGCUGCAGCUCAUGUGUGAAAAGGCUUUGAUGAAGAUUAGAAUCUGCUAAGUCACAGUGAGUGAUGCCCACAGUGAGUAUUUAAAUUUUUCAGCACCUCUCAUUCUCGAAGGUUCAAAGUGUGUAGCACACUAAAGAGCGAACACAAACUACAGAUUUUUAACGAAGGAACGAAGGUUUGGUGGGAGGAUGUAUUUUGAUUCAUAUGGCAUGUUUCUUGCCGUGCAGUGGCCUCUCCCCACCUACACAGCUAAAUGCAUUCUGUGGUUUCUCAGGACUAAAAGCUCACUGGCAAAAUGAGAAAUAGUUGUUUUUGCAUUAUAUUAUAAUUCACUUUUCCUUCCAGUAAGCAGGGCAGUUUCUUGUAAAUCAAGACACACUGUUAGCUCUGCACAGGGAUCUCAAAGCAAAAUCUAACUGAAUAUUUGCUCCUCAUUCAAAGGAACCCACGUGGAUUCCUUGUUUUUGUGCCGCGCAAACCAGAUGCAACAAGACUGUUCACGCUUCACCUUGUUUGUCUUGAUGCGUCCUUGGGUUGAACAAAAGUUCAGCAGCAGCAGAGGAGACGCAUUAAGCUAAGGGGCAAACUGAGGCGGAAACACUGUGUCAUUAUUAGGCCUUUCAUCACAGCCGGCAUUAGUAGAAAGAGCGCAGGUGUUAUAAAACCCCCUCAGGAUGUCGUGACAGCGAGUUGGACCUCAAAUCAGUCAGCAAACAUAAAUGUUAUUAUUUACACCAGCUGUGACGUGUGAAAGCCUCACCUUAUAAGGUGUUAAUGUUUGCUUGUGUUUAACAUGAUUAUUCUCAGAGACAUUAUUAGAGAAACACACACGGCACUAAAAGAAAGCAAGUGUGGUGUUAGAAGUACAACAGUGGAAAAACAGCCUUUUAACACAUUCAUUCAGUGGAAAAAACUGAAAAUCUUUAAAGCGUUAUUUAAAUAAAAUGAAUAUCCGCACAUUAAAAACUCUCCGACUCUUAUUCUCCAAAAUACGACUUUAAAAAAAUUCUUGUUUCUCACUGAAAUUGAAACGUCUACGAUCUUUGUCUAAAUCUUAAUUCAGGAUUCUUUGAGUAUCAGGUCUCCCUGUUUAACUGAGAAUAACUCGCUAUCUUGGCUCAACUCCAGUGAUAAGGAAUAUUAUAUAAAAACAGAUAUACGCUCACCGGCCACUUCAACAGAUACAAGGUUAAACUCCUUUUUGCCAUAGAUUCAAAUAAGGUGCUACAAACUUUCUUUAGGGAUUUCAUUGCCAGGCGACAUGUUAGCGUCGCACAGUCGGUGCAGAUAUGUUGGCUGCACAUCAACGAUUUUACUCGAGUUCCACCACAUCACAAAGGUGGGCUACUGGAUUGAGAUCUGGUGAUUGCGGAAGCCGUGUGAGUGAAGUGAAGUCAGUGUUGAGAUUAUUUGAGCCUCGUGACAUGAAGUGGCUACAUGGUCAUUGUCAGCAACAAUACUCAGGGAGGCUUUGACAUUUAAACAAUAAUCACUUGGUACUAAGUGUGCCAAGAAACUCUCCACCACACCAUUACAGCCCCACGCUGAACCAUUGAUACAAGGCAGGAUGGAUCCGUGUUGUUUACACUAA